rnacentral:rRNA from 1 species
AAUUAAUGAAGAGUUUGAUCCUGGCUCAGAACGAACGCUGGUGGCGUGUCUUAUACAUGCAAGUCGAGCGGGGACUUCGGUCCUAGCGGCG